rnacentral:sRNA from 1 species
GCUGGGCGCAGUGGCGCACACCUGUAAUCCCAGUGGCAAGGGAGGCUGAGGCAGGAGGAUUGCAAGUUCAAAGCCAGCCUCAGCAAAGGUGAGAUGCUAAGCAAUUCAGUGACCCUGUCUCUA